AACGAACGCUGGCGGCAGGCUUAACACGUGCAAGUCGAACGGGUGUAGCAAUACAUCAGUGGCAGACGGGUGAGUAACACGUGGGAACCUUCCUAGGGGUACGGAACAACUCAGGGAAACUUGAGCUAAUACCGUAUACGUCCGUAAGGAGAAAGAUUCAUCGCCCCUAGACGGGCCCGCGUCGGAUUAGGUAGUUGGUGGGGUAACGGCCUACCAAGCCUACGAUCCGUAGCUGAUCUGAGAGGAUGAUCAGCCACACUGGGACUGAGACACCGGCCCAGACUCCUACGGGAGGGCAGCAGUGGGGAAUCUUGGACAAUGGGCGCAAGCCUGAUCCAGGCCAUGCCGCGUGAGUGAAGAAGGCCUUAGGGUUGUAAAGCUCUUUUACCAGGGACGAUAAUGACGGUACCUGGAGAAUAA
rnacentral:rRNA from 1 species